GGCGCCGAGAGGGCGUGGGGGGGGGAGCCCGGUUGGGCGGACGAGGCGGAGGAGACUGGGUACUGUGGCCGACGGAGGGCUGGAGGAAACAUAACUCAGCCAUAGCCCAUUGUAGAAGUCCAUUUUCCUGGCUCAGUGAUUGGUCCGCAGGGGACAUGUGACCAAGAAGAGCUAAUAGGAGUUCCUCCUUGGCUUAAGCUCCACACUGUAGAAAGCAAGGAAACUACCAAAGACUCCUGCGGUUUGUCAAAAGGAUGAAAAGAUACAGGAGGCAACCCAAAGGAUGUCCCACUGGCCAAAAAUGGGGCAUUCAAACACUGAAGAGUAAAACCAACAAGGAUUGAAACCAAGUGCCCAUAACUAACCACGAAAAUCCUCUAACAUCCACUGGUCUCCUUUGGAGAUAGCAGGGCAGUCACUAUUAUGAAAAUUGUUAAACAGAGAAUCAGGGACUAUGUUGGCUUUUCCAUUAAAUCAAAUAUUAGACUUAGAUUCCUUCAUGAAAUAAUAGAUUUAGGCAACAAUUCUCAUUGUCUCCAAAACCAUUAGGAUAGUUGUUGGGAAAAUCUUGUAUAAUGGAUAGAUCAAGUUCACUAUUUGAAUUUGAAUGUACUCAUCAGCCUUAUUGUCAUUGCAAGUAGAACCACAAAUUAUUAUGUGUCUCCUCACAGAAUGUAGGGAGAAUUACACAGCACCACUUAUGAAGUACUUUUUCCAAGAAAAAUGAACCUGAAUUUCAUCAAGCUUCCAGAUAUAACUACCAAUUUACAGAGAAACACUAGGGAUAGAGGAAUAUAAGAAUGACACCACGGGGAUCCCAGUCAACUAAAUGUGGAAUGUGGAAAAUUCUAUAUGACAAAUAACCUGGUUUCUUCAGCAAAUGAAU